UGAAGAAGCAAACUAUCUACAACUUUCCCAUAACUCCCCAGCAUACAGUGGUGAGGCGUGAGAUAACUUUCCUAUUCUAAAAGGGUUUGGAAAACAAGAGGCAAUUCUUUUUUUUAUAAUUUCUCCCUAUGUAAUAUACUCUAUUUCAAUAGUUUUAAAUACCACCCAUAUAUUUGUGACUUCCAAAUUUCCUAACAUCUCUGAGCUCCACACUAGAAUAUCUAAUAACUUUCACUUCAUUUGAUAUCUUCAUUAAGAUAUCUCCCAGAUAUUUCCAACUUAACAUGCUAAAAUUCUUGUUUUCUUCUUUACCCUUUGCCUCCACAAAUCUGUUCUUUUCCCGGUUUCUCCGUCUGGGUGAAUGAUGCCACUAUUCACCUAGUUGCUCAGACCAAAACCCAGGACUCAGCCUUAAUUCUUUUAUCUCUGUAUUCCAAUAAUCACCAAGUUCUGUAUUUUCUUUCUUUAGAAUAUACUCACUUUUUUUUCAGUCUCACCUGGAUUACAACAAUCUCCUUAUUGGCCACCUCCUUCAUUCUUGCUCCUUUCUGAUUUCCUUUGGCACAGCAAAGUCGUAAUUUAGUUCGUAUGUCUGGUUACGGUGUGCUCUUGCCCACAGCCUUCAGUGAUUUCCCACUCCAUUUUGAGUGAGAUCCAGAUUCCUUCCCAUGAUCUAAAAGGUUCAUAUAACUGGCCGUUGCCUGUCCCUCUGGCCUUAUUCCCUGCCAUCUUUCCUCUUUAUCCACCAUACUUCAUCUUCUCUGGGCUUUUUCAGUUCCUCACACAUACCAAGCUCUCAGAAAGGAUCUGUACACAUGCUGUUUUCUCUGCCUGGAAUAUUCUCUCCCAACUUCCCACCCCCACAGAACCGACUCUUUCUUAUCCAAGACAUGGAUUCUUGACCAUUCUGAGUAAGUACCCCCUCUAUUAUUCUCUAUCACUGUAUCCUGUUUUUCUUUUAUAAAACUUAUCCCAAUUUUAAGUUGUAUCCUGUUUGUUUACUUAUUUAUCAUGUGUCUCCCUUGAUUUCAAGCCCUACUGGGUCAGAGGGCAUGUCUGUGUAUACCCAGUGCCCAGGCAGCAUGUGCCGCACAUAAUAUGCCCUUGAUAAAUAUGUUGAGUGGUGUUUCAAGACAUAAUUUUGUUUUGAGACAGAUAUGUUAAUAAUUAAUUAGUAAUGUUAAAUGUAUUAUUUCCUAAUUCUUACUGAAAUAGCCCUUUUUUCUUUCAGUAAUUGCCCUUCCUUUUUGGCUGCUGCUUUAGCCAGAGCCACAUCAGAUGAAGUCCUCCAGAGUGAUCUUUCUGCACAUUACAUCGCAAAGGAAACAGACUGCACAGAAGGGACUGUGGAGAUUGAAACAAUGAAAUUGGCCCGUUCUGUCUUCAGCAAACUACACGAGAUUUGCUGCAGCUGGGUGAAAGACUUCCCUCUCCGCAGGAGACCCCAGCUUUAUUAUGAGACAUCAAUCCAUGCCAUCAAAAACAUGCGCAGGAAAAUGGAAGACAAACAUGUCUGCAUUCCUGACUUUAAUAUGCUCUUCAACCUAGAGGUAAAGGGCCUUUCUCAAGAGUCAAUGAGAUUUAAAAAAACAAAACGAACACCUUCAAGGUCUUAUUUUUCUUAAAGAGAACUUCUAAUAUACCUCUAAUAGUAUGUCUGGUGGUCUGGAAUAGGACUGAAGGCAGAGUGGCAUGAAUUUGCUUGCACUACACAACAGGAAAGAACCUAUUUUACGCCAUUUUGGUUUGUUUAUUUAUUUUUAAGUAAGCUCUACGCCCAGCUUGGGGCUUGAACUCACACCCCGAGAUCAGGAGUCACAUGCUCUACCGACUGAGCCAGCCAGGCGCCCCGAUUUGAGCAGGUAAUGCAUUCACAUGGUUCAGAUGGAAAACAAAAAUCUCUCUUAUCCUUUGUCUCAGACGCUCAGUUCCCUUCCAUGAAGGCAAGGGAAGUUACCAAUUUUUUGCAUAAACUUCCGGAGCUAUUCAAUAAAAAUUAUGUUUUUUGAAAAUAAAAAAA